CCAAAAUUCGAGCCCAAAAUUUCACUCAAGAUGAAAAGAUGUCUCUUAUCACUAUCAUCCAGAAGUUUGGUGAAAUAAUCGAAUGCAAACAAACCAAUUCUGUAUCAAAAGGAGAUAAAGACAAAGCCUGGAACAGUGUUCACGAAGAAUAUAAUGUCAAUGCAGAUCGACCUCGUACUCUUGACAUGUUAAAAAAAUUUUGGAACAAUUUAAACAACAAGGGCAAGAGUUAUGUGGCAACAGAGAAUAGCGAAAACGUGAAAACAGGAGGUGGCAUCAAAAAUUUUUAAUCCGACCCGCUCAUGGAGGAAAUAUUAAAGGUGAUUGGGCGUCAGAUAGAGCCCCUCAAAAAUCUCUAUAAUUCAGAUGCUCUAUUCAUUGUGGGUGACGAUGAUGAUGAACUGGAGGAUCCAAUUGAAGGGAAUAAGGACAUUCAUAGAUAUCUUCGAGACUCCGGGCAACUUCCAGACUGGUCAAAAAUGUCUGUGAAGAACCUGAAAAAACCUGUGAGUUCACCUCUAGCUGAGCAAAUGAUGAAAAUACUGAAGCCUGAUGAUACAACCGGACUGAAGCAAGAAAUUAAGAAAGUGGAUUUUGUUGAUGAUAAAACAGGUUUUGGGAUGUUAAUGAGGAGGCAGACUUUGUGCAGCCACAUGAAUUUGUCGACCUAAAGAAGGUGGAGAAAAACUCUGUUCCCUCGAAGGAUGAAUCGGAACUCCAGUCAGAGUAGGAAAAAAGGAUCGACAUGCAAAAUUAGUUUCGUUCUUCUCCAAACAUUCUUGAUAGACCUCAUGAUGGGAUCAACUUCCAACAGGAAACCGAGAGCUGUUCUGAAGAGAACAAAAUCAACAUUGAAAUCAACAGAACUAAACUCCAUAAUGAAGGCCUAAAAGUCAAGAGAUUGGAUCACCAAGUCAAGAGAUUGGAUCUCAAAAAUGAUUUGCUACAGCUGCAGUUGGAGAAGAAAAGAUUGAAAUUGGAGGAUAUGAAGAAUAAAUUGAAAAGAACAACAGAGGGGGAAUGAGCAAAUGAAUGAGUAAAACCAAAGAAGAAUUGCCAAACGAACAGCAUUAGUGGCCUCACUGAUGGAUUGGCACAAACGUCUGGCUCAUCAACACAUUACCCACGUACAAAAGGUGUUGAACACCCACCAAAUCAAAUCCACUGGAUCUUUCACCACCUACGAGGAAUGCACCUUGGGGAAAAUGAGCAGAAAACCACAUCCAUCGAGCAAUACCAAGUCAACAGCCAUUGGAGAACUUCUACAUGCAGAUCUUUGUGGUCCCAUGGAAACAAAGCCUCUCGGUGGAGCCUCCUACUACCUCUUAAUCAAAGAUGAUUACUCACGCUUCAGGCACGUUCAUUUUUUGAAAAACAAAAGCGAAACCUUUGACUGCCUGAAGUACACACUGCUAAGAGUAGAAAAAGAAACAGGAAAAUCCAUCAACACACUACGAACUGAUCAAGGCCUGGAGUUCAUCAACACACAGAUGAACCAACUGCUGAAGGAAAAAGGCAUCAAACAUCAGAAUUCUGUAGCAUACACACCAGAACAAAAUGGAAAGAUAGAGC